rnacentral:rRNA from 1 species
ACAUGGGUAACCGUGGUAAUUCUAGAGCUAAUACAUGCUGUCAGGCCCAACUUCGUAGAAGGGUUGUAUUUAUUAGAUAUAAGCCAAUAUUCCUUCGGGUCUAUUGCGGUGAUUCACAAUAACUGAUCGAAUCUCUUUUAGAGAUAAAUCAUUCAAGUUUCUGCCCUAUCAGCUUUCGAUGCUUAGGUAUUGACUAAAGCAUGGCUUUAACGGGUAACGGAGAUUCAGGGUUCGAUUCCGGAGAGGGAGCCAGAGAAACGGCUACCACAUCUAAGGAAGGCAGCAGGCGCGUAAAUUACCCAAUCCUGAUUAAGGGAGGUAGUGACAAGAAAUAACAAACAGGGGAUUUUUCAAAUCUUACUGUAUUGCAAUGAGGAAAAUUUAAAAACCUUAUCGAGAAACAAGUGGAGGGCAAGUCUGGUGCCAGCAGCCGCGGUAAUUCCAGCUCCACUAGCGUAUAUUAAAAUUGUUGCAGUUAAAAAGCUCGUAGUUGAACCUCUGACUAUGUGCAGUUCUGGUUCUCAAUCAAGCUGUGUGUAGUCAUCCAUCUGCAAACCUUUUCGGGCAUUCAGUUGUUCGGCUAGGAGAGUAGAUAUUUUACUGUGAAAAAAUUAGAGUGUUUAAGGCAGACAAUGGUUUGAAUACAUUAGCAUGGAAUAAUAGAACAGGACACUUGUUCAUUUCGUUGGUUAUUGGACUCGUGUAAUGAUUAAUAGGGACAGUUGGGGGCAUUUGUAUUUAAUUGUCAGAGGUGAAAUUCUUGGAUUUAUUAAAGACAAACUUAUGCGAAAGCAUUUGCCAAGGAUGUUUUCAUUAAUCAAGAACGAAAGUUAGGGGAUCAAAGACGAUCAGAUACCGUCCUAGUCUUAACUAUAAACUAUUCCGACUCGGUUUUGGCAUGGCGCAUAUAACCAUGUCAGCGCCGUAUGAGAAAUCAAAGUUACGGUUCCGGGGGGAGUAUGGUCGCAAGACUGAAACUUAAAGGAAUUGACGGAAGGGCACACAAGGUGUGGAGCCUGCGGCUUAAUUUGACCCAACACGGGGAAACUUACCAGGUUAAAACAUUAGUGGGAUUGACUGAUUGAGAGCUCUUUCUUGAUUCAAUGGGUGGUGGUGCAUGGCCGUUCUUAGUUCGUGGAGUGAUUUGUCUGCUUAAUUGCGAUAACGCGACGAGACCAUUACCUGCUUACUAGACACGUUAUGUUAAUGGCGUGCUCUUCUUAGAGGGACUUUGGAAUUUCAAUUCCAAGGAAGUUGGUGGCAAUAACAGGUCUGUGAUGCCCCUAGACAUCCUGGGCCGCACGCGUUCUACAAUGAUGC